rnacentral:piRNA from 1 species
UGACAGUCUAAGGAAGCAACGCGUGG